rnacentral:sRNA from 1 species
AAUCAACACUCCACUCAGACAAUGCCCAGACCUCCAGAAACCAUGUGUCAAGCUCGGAUUGCCUUAGACAGGUGCAAUUUAAGAACAGCUUUCAUCCUCUUUUCUCUCAUAUUGUCACACUAUGUGUUCUGACUUCUGGCUCCUUUCCUCACAAGAAGCUCACCCAGCUGGAACUCUUAUGGGACCUUGGCACCAGAGACCACAAAUUCCUCUUUGAAGUUUUCUAACAGCAACAAUGGUAUUUCUGACUUGGCUUUCUUGUAUUUCUCUCACGUUAACAAAAUUGGUUCAGCAUCUACCAUGGGCUACAUGCUGAGCUACAGAGUUUCGCUCUGUCGCCCAGGCUGGAGUGCAGUGGCGCGCGAUCUCGGUUCACUGCAAGCUCCACCUCCCGGGUUCACGCCAUUCUCCUGCCUCAGCCUCCUGAGUAGCUGGGACUACAGGCGCCCGCCACCACACCCAGGAAUCCAACUUGCUGUUUGCUAUCACAUGUGCUAUACAUGCUGUUGAUGAAACUGCUAAAGGGGCUGAAUGUGACUGACGUCUUUGGAAGGAUGAGACUUAGCGUGCCUGUACAGUUGUGUCCAAAUGCUGUCCUCAUCUCCCAAUGAAAAGAUACAUGAAAAGAAAGAAGGAGAGAAGGAAGAAAGGAGGGCGGAAGGAAAGGAAGAAGGGAGAGAAGAAGAGAAGAAAGAAGCAGAGAAAGGAAGAGAAAAGAAAUUACGGCCAGUGCGGUGGCUCACGCCUGUAAUCCUAGCACUUUGGGAGGCCUAAGCGGGCUGAUCACCUGAGGUCAGGAGUUCGUAAGCCAGCCUGGCCAACAUGGUGAAACCCUAUCUCUACUAAAAAUACAAAAAUCAGCAGGGCAUGGUGGUGCAUGCCUGUAAUCCCAGCUACCUGGGAGGCUGAGGUAGGAGAAUCGCUGGAACCCGAGAGGCGGAGGCUGCAGUGAGUUGAGAUCAUGUCACUGCACUCCAGGCUGGGCAACAGAGUGAGACUCUGUCUCA